AGUCUGCAAGGGAAAUAUUUAUAGCUUUGGGAUGAGACUGUACGGUAUCAGCUAGUUGGUGAGGUAAUGGCUCACCAAGGCUAUGACAUCUAACUGGUUUGAGAGGAUGAUCAGUCACACUGGAACUGAGACACGGUCCAGACUCCUACGGGAGGCAGCANCUGGGGAAUAUUGCACAAUGGAGGAAACUCUGAUGCAGCAACGCCGCGUGGAGGAUGACACAUUUCGGUGCGUAAACUCCUUUUAUUAGGGAAGAUAAUGACGGUACCUAAUGAAUAAGCACCGGCUAACUCCGUGCCAGCAGCCGCGGUAAUACGGGGGGUGCAAGCGUUACUCGGAAUCACUGGGCGUAAAGAGAAUGUAGGCUGGUUAUUAAGUUGGAA
rnacentral:rRNA from 1 species